UAACACAUGCAAGUCGAACGGUAACAGGAAGAAGCUUGCUUCUUUGCUGACGAGUGGCGGACGGGUGAGUAAUGUCUGGGAAACUGCCUGAUGGAGGGGGAUAACUACUGGAAACGGUAGCUAAUACCGCAUAACGUCGCAGGACCAAAGAGGGGGACCUUCGGGCCUCUUGCCAUCGGAUGUGCCCAGAUGGGAUUAGCUAGUAGGUGGGGUAACGGCUCACCUAGGCGACGAUCCCUAGCUGGUCUGAGAGGAUGACCAGCCACACUGGAACUGAGACACGGUCCAGACUCCUACGGGAGGCAGCAGUGGGGAAUAUUGCACAAUGGGCGCAAGCCUGAUGCAGCCAUGCCGCGUGUAUGAAGAAGGCCUUCGGGUUGUAAAGUACUUUCAGCGGGGAGGAAGGGAGUAAAGUUAAUACCUUUGCUCAUUGACGUUACCCGCAGAAGAAGCACCGGCUAACUCCGUGCCAGCAGCCGCGGUAAUACGGAGGGUGCAAGCGUUAAUCGGAAUUACUGGGCGUAAAGCGCACGCAGGCGGUUUGUUAAGUCAGAUGUGAAAUCCCCGGGCUCAACCUGGAAACUGCAUCUGAUACUGGCAAGCUUGAGUCUCGUAGAGGGGGGUAGAAUUCCAGGUGUAGCGGUGAAAUGCGUAGAGAUCUGGAGGAAUACCGGUGGCGAAGGCG
rnacentral:rRNA from 1 species